UCUAGGGGCUUUUCCCAGCAUGAAUGCUCUUUUUAGGCAGAACUCUAACUGUGUACCUUUCCUUAUGUUUUAUCUAGCUUUGCUUACUCACAGUUCCUGGAACAAAACGAUGAGCUAGAGGAGGAAAUUUGUACAUGUUUUCCUAAGAGCCCAUGUGACUGAAAGCAUAUAAGCUUCUCCUAUCCCAAGUAUGUCCCCAAAAUGCCAUGAACCCCAGUCAGGUGGCUCCUGGAUGCUUCCCUGGGACCACCAGACUUGUUCAAAGACAGGUCUCCAUGGGAAGUUUGAAGGCCAGAUGAUCUUGGCUGAUGGCUGCUUCUAAGGGUGAACCUUUUGAGAAAAGAGAAUGAGCCAGCAAAGCCACACCUCCCUUGGAAUUCACACAGGGUCACUUCUGCCAUGUUUGCCGUUUGAGUCCCUCAGGGCUUCAAGCCUAUUGGCUUGCAUCACCCACACCAGGGCGGGUCUUCUCCCUGGGUUUGCUGGCCCACAUGCCAAUCAUCUCUGGAAACACUAGCAGACACCAUAACAUUAAAUCAAGGAUGCAGCCUAUAAAUGAUGGAGUCGGAAGGAAGAAUAAGUGUGAGACUAAUGGGAUGCCUGAGUUGGUGGAGUGCUGACCCUUGGACCAGCACUGGGAGACACCAAGCAGCCCGGAGUGGGGACACAGCAGAUGCAGCAACCCUGGCAUAAGGAGGUGGUGGAGCCCAUGGGGCACACUCAGGAGGAACCACAGGAAAGAGCUCAGAGCCUCCUAGAGGUGCACAGUUUGUUCAGCAAGAAAGAAGCCAGUGGGUCCUUCACAUUUGUGUCACUCUGUGCCACCUGCCUUGGGACCUAUGAGUGGACCUAUGAUCUCCAUCCCACAAACCUGUGGUCACCACGGAAACUUUGCAGCUGGAGCUCUAAUGAGAGGGAAAGGCAUUCCAGACCAAAUCUUGACUGCUUCAAGAGCUUUUCAGGGAUCCUGCAGUUUCCAACUCCCCAGCUCAUCUGACCUUGAUGAGUGCACAGAUCUGAUUGCUUCUCACAGAUAAGGCAGGGAGGUCUUGAAGGCCUGUAACCUGUCAAGGGUGACACAGGCUGGAGUGUGCACCCGGCUCUAUACUGGGACCUGAGAAGGCUCUGGGGCCUACAGGCUCUGUAUGGGCAGAGAAGGUGCAGAAUGUAAUGUGUUUGCUUAAAGUAUGUUGAAAACUUCCUGUUCUGGGGCAGCAGCUGGCAGGUGGAGCUGGACCGAGAUGGCCCCAGGAAAAUCCAGAUCCUUUUCCUCUACCCGGUCCUGUCCAAACCCUGUCCUCCCCACCCCACCCACAAGAGACAUCGUAGCUUCCUGGACUUUCUCCCUCCUUUUGUUUUUUCAGUCCUGCUGUCUCUGGAGCUGUUCUUGUAAAGUGAAAAUUCCAACCCAACAUUAACAAUUUUCACAACGCUGACCCAGGCAAGACUUGUUCUUGACAUUUUAGAAAGCUAAACUGCAUCCUGGAAAGGAUGAAGUAAUGGGUCCAUUUCCCAGCAUGGGAGCUUUGAGGGCAUAGUGACUCCUCAGGGAACCCAACCUGAGAUGCACCUCAAUCUCACUUCCUCCUGUUCUUCCCUUCAGGGAGAGAUGGAAACAUCUACCCCACAGCCUCAAGGUGGAAGCAGAAGGAGCGUUUUGUGUCCUGUCUUCCACCUUCAAAGCCCAGCCUUCCACUGGGCACCAAUUUUUACACAUUUUACCUGGAAGAAUCUCUGCAACCCAUCCUUCCCUUGCUUCCAAUGAACUCUCAUUAAAUAAAUCUUCAACAAAACCUUAGGCAAUUUAGCAGCUUGUCUUGAAUUUAUCCUCUUUUUUACCUAUUCUUCAUGAAGCCACAUGACUUGCCUGUAAGAAAUGCAAAUUUGACCAUGCCUCGCCUCACUCUAAAUUCUGAUGCCCCUGUGCCUGCAGGAGGCCCCAGCCCCUUUUCCAGCCCUCUCUUUCCACAGGCUGCUACCCCCACCUCAUCUGUGAGGCUGCAAAGAGCCACUAUCUUUGUCAACCCUGGGGACCUUAGGGUAUCUAUUCAGUCUGCACCGAAUCUGUGACAUUUCCAAAUAACCUAACUGAAAUGUCACCUGCCCGCCCCUGAGAGUGGAGGUACAGAGGUCGUCAUUCCUGCCCUGUGUUGCUGAGGGGUGCAUGUGCGCGCUGUGACACUGCUUGCAGUGCACUCUCACAUUCAGGGGUCUUUCCUGCCACUCUGCCAUGGACUCCCCGACGUGUUCUUGUGCACUUCCCACUUGUGUCGUGUCCUUCCAGUUCUUAAGCCAAAUUCUGGGAGUCAUCCCCCCACCCCCCAUAUGUAUAGUGCACUAAGAGUCCGACUCGUUCCAUCAGGCCGCACCUCUGCAACCAGUCCCAUCCACCUCCCCGAUGUGGCCCAUGAGGUCCACCUGCCUCACUCCAGGUCUAGGCAGAAGACACCUAGUCUUCACUCACUUGCACCCUGGCCCAACUACAGUUCGUCCAACAAAGCAGACAGAGUGGCUUCCAAGAGGAUUGGGCAUUAAUGGCUCCUGAACCCCAGCAUUUCCAGAGGCAGAAUUCCCUGAAAUUUCUGCGUAGAAUUCCCAGCCUGCUGUCCCACUACAACAUUUGGCCACUCUGUCAGUGCUCAAGGGCUCUGUUCCACCAGCCCCCAUCCCUCUGCAUUGUCCCCUCAGCCUGGCUAACACCCUCAGUUCUUCACAUCCUUGCUCUAGUGCCACUUAGUGAAAACCUUACACAAUCCAUGGGCCUUCAGUCCUCCAGUUUGUGCUUUAUUUUUUUCCCAUCGCUCCCUGGUUUGGAGGAGUCUAAAAUGUUCUUCUAUCUUAUUUUAUUGCCCAUUGGCUGCUGUACUCAUGAGACAAGUCAUGCAUUUGUCUCAGAAAUGUGGCCCCUUACUAAAAUCCUGGUUUAAUAUCCUUCUUAUUAAGCUAAUAUUUCAAAUUUUUUAUUGACAUAACAUUUGCCCACACUUAUGGGGUACAGGACAGUAAUUCAAUACAUGUAUACAGUCUAACAUGCAAAUCGGGGUAAGCAGCUUCCCUAAAUCCUCAAACAUUUGUUGUUUCUAUGUGUUAUGAAUCUUUGGCGUCUUCCUUUCUAGCUACUUUGAAGUAUGUCACACAUGACUGUGUUCUGUGGUCACCCUGUUGUAUGGGUACAGCGUGGAGGUCACUGGCCCUGUCCACUGUGUUUUAACUCUCAUUGUCCAUUGUUGGAGGGAGGGUACACUAGUACAACCAUUGUGGAAAUCAGU